rnacentral:rRNA from 1 species
UACGUAGGUGGCAAGCGUUAUCCGGAAUUAUUGGGCGUAAAGCGCGCGCAGGCGGAUCAGUCAGUCUGUCUUAAAAGUUCGGGGCUUAACCCCGUGAGGGGAUGGAAACUGCUGAUCUAGAGUAUCUGAGAGGAAAGUAGAAUUCCUAGUGUAGCGGUGAAAUGCGUAGAUAUUAGGAAGAACACCAGUGGCGAAGGCGGCUUUCUGGACGAAAACUGACGCUGAGGCGCGAAAGCGUGGGGAGCGAACAGG